rnacentral:rRNA from 1 species
CCUACGGGAGGCAGCAGUGGGGAAUAUUGCACAAUGGGCGAAACCCUGAUGCAGCGACGCCGCGUGAGUGAAGAAGGCUUUCGGUAUGUAAAGCUCUUUCAGCAGGGAAGAAAAUGACGGUACCUGAUAAAGAAGCUCCGGCUAACUACGUGCCAGCAGCCGCGGUCAUACGUAGGGGGCACGCGUUAUCCGGAUUUACUGGGUGUAAAGGGAGCGUAGACGGCAGCUCAAGUCUGAAGUGAAAUGCCGGGGCUUAACCCCGGAACUGCUUUGGAAACUGGGCAGCUAGAGUGCAGUAGAGGUGAGUGGAAUUCCUGGUGUAGCGGUGAAAUGCGUAGAUAUUAGGAGGAACACCAGUGGCGAAGGCGGCUUACUGGACUGUAACUGACGUUGAGGCGCGAAAGCGUGGGGAGCAAACAGGAUUAGAUACCCGAGUAGUC